UACGUAGGGUGCGAGCGUUGUCCGGAAUUAUUGGGCGUAAAGAGCUCGUAGGCGGUUUGUCGCGUCUGCUGUGAAAACUGGGGGCUCAACCCCCAGCCUGCAGUGGGUACGGGCAGACUAGAGUGCGGUAGGGGAGACUGGAAUUCCUGGUGUAGCGGUGGAAUGCGCAGAUAUCAGGAGGAACACCGAUGGCGAAGGCAGGUCUCUGGGCCGUAACUGACGCUGAGGAGCGAAAGCAUGGGGAGCGAACAGG
rnacentral:rRNA from 1 species